rnacentral:rRNA from 1 species
GCAAGUCGAACGAACCUUCGGGUUAGUGGCGGACGGGUGAGUAACGCGUGGGAAUCUGCCCUCAGGAGGGGGAUAACGGCCGGAAACGGCCGCUAAUACCCCAUAUGCCGAGAGGUGAAAUGAAUUUCGCCUGAGGAUGAGCCCGCGUCUGAUUAGCUAGUUGGUGGGGUAAGAGCCUACCAAGGCGACGAUCUAUAGCUGGUCUGAGAGGACGACC